GAAUUUGCGAUGUGAGUCUCCAACAAUGACAUCAUCACCUCCUACACCUCCCUCUCCACUUCCCAUUAGUUUUGGACCAGGCAACCGGACAUACUCCUUCUCUGUAUCUUCAACUACUUCCCCACCUUUCUCUCUGGUUCCUUCCUCCCACCCAUCUGAUGACAAUCUUCCCCUAAUUUUGCACAAGAUCACUAAUGUUCCACCAUCAAUAUUUUCAUUGGAUCUCCAACAAUUCCAAUCCAAUACUACAUGCCUCAAGGACUUGUUGGAAUGGUUUAUACAAAGAUGUUGCAGUUGCUGUAACAAAUUUCCUUGAAUCAUCCUAACGACACACAACAUCUCAAGAAAUCAAAGUGUUCAACAGAAUUUGUUCCCAGUGCUUAUUAUAUAUUUAGGGACUCCAAAUUUUCCGCGUAGACAACAUCUAACAUGUCUGCUAAAUCUCCUUAACCAUCUUUAUUUUACCUCUUUUAAUUUUGCCAACUGUAUGUAUUCUCAUUUAAUAAUGGGUAAAAUAAGUUUGGAAUUUCGUAAAAUUU